GAUGAGCGCUGGCGGCGUGCCUAAUACAUGCAAGUCGAGCGAACAGACGAGGAGCUUGCUCCUCUGACGUUAGCGGCGGACGGGUGAGUAACACGUGGAUAACCUACCCAUAAGACUGGGAUAACUUCGGGAAACCGGAGCUAAUACCGGAUAAUAUAUUGAACCGCAUGGUUCAAUAGUGAAAGACGGUUUUGCUGUCACUUAUAGAUGGAUCCGCGCCGCAUUAGCUAGUUGGUAAGGUAACGGCUUACCAAGGCAACGAUGCGUAGCCGACCGGGGAGGGUGAUCGGCCACGCUGGGACUGAGACACGGUCCAGACUCCUACGGGAGGCAGCAGUAGGGAAUCUUCCGCAAUGGGCGAAAGCCUGACGGAGCAACGCCGCGUGAGUGAUGAAGGUCUUCGGAUCGUAAAACUCUGUUAUUAGGGAAGAACAAAUGUGUAAGUAACUAUGCACGUCUUGACGGUACCUAAUCAGAAAGCCACGGCUAACUACGUGCCAGCCGCCGCGGUAA
rnacentral:rRNA from 1 species